UGGCCGCUGGUGCUCGCGGAGCAGGGCGGGGCCUCGCGGCGGAGGCGGGGCGGGGCAACGGAGCCCUCAGGGGUGGGACGGGGUUGCUCCGCCCGUCUUCUCGCGCUGCGGGCCGUGGCGGUAGCGCCCGGUGGUGCCGUCGGGCUCUGCUGCCGUGCUGCUGCGGCUGAGAGGAAAGUGUCACAUAACGGGUCUGUCGUCUCACGUCCGAGGUGUGCCACCAUAGGUGUUCAGCCGCCGAAGCGAGACAGCAGCUCAGAAAAGCACUCAGUUCUACACUAGGUUCUUCUCGAUUUGCUUUAGGAGUUGGUGCGUUGUGAGGGGAGGCUGAUGCUAACGACGCUGUCCUGGCCUGGAGUGCACUUGUGGUCCUCUCACGUUUGUCCUCACGUUUCCUCUAGUCCUGCUCACCCCUGUAAGAGAUCCUAAGGGACGCCAGGGAACUCCGGAGACCAUUAGGUCUCCGCAGCACUGCAGAGCACUUGGAGACACACUUCUGUGUGUGGCUUUGGUUUUAUCCUCUUCAUGUUCCUAACUAUACGAAAAGCUGAGGGCGCCCUGCUGAGGGGGAGAGAGGGGAAGAGAAUGAAUCUAAGGGAGCAGGAAAAAAACCCUGUACUUCUGUAAGGGCAUUCUUGUUCUUCAGAGAUCACUCCAGAGACCUUGCUCUUAAUGGAGUUCCCUUAAAGGGACUAAAUGCCUCCACACUGCAGGAAGGUGGAUCUGCUUGGAAGCCAGGGCUCCGAAGUGCUGAUGUUGACCUCUAUGGGGACAUAGAAUAUAGCCCACAUUAAGGGUCCUUGAACUCUUCUGUGAGGUCUGCCACCUGAAGUUUCCUUUUAUGGGAUGCACAAAAUUCUUGGGAAAGAAACAGGGGCUCUGGAGUGUGAAGAAAAUAAUGAGUCUCUGAAAUAUUUCAGCGGAGUUAUUCUGCUGUUCUUUUUCAUCCUCUCUCAUGUUCCACCACCUUUAAUUGCAUCUUUCUCCUUUUUAGGGAUACAGUGCUGCCUUGUAGCACCAGUGAUAUCCUCAUUGCCAAUUAGAAUACAAACAGACAGAAAACAAUGAAACUGUCUUUGAAUUCUACACUUUAGAGACGUUCCUCCUUUUUUGAGUCCUCAAAGCUGUAAGCUGUUUUGCAUUCAAGCUUCUGCAGCAUGUAGUACUGAAAAAGUAAAAUUCUCCUUAAAAUAAGUAAUUCUUAGCAACUUCAAGCAGAAUCAAAAUUUUAUGAUGUGUUACAAUGCAUCAAAAAUCCAUUCUCCAAUAAAGACCAUGAAUAAGUAUUUUUAAAAUUAACAUAAAAUUGUAUGAUCCAAAUUUCUGUCAUGAUGUCUUUUUAGAAUUAGAGAAAGAAUAAUGCAAUUGAGCACAUUCAAAUGUUUUUUUCUUGAUUCUAGAUGGCCUCUGGAGUCCACUGCAUGAGAACUGUAUGGAGAUGAAUGCUGUAGGAUGCCCAGGGACUUUGAUCACUAAUGCCUAACACAGCUGGCUGCUGCAGGAAGUGAUACCGCAGGAAUCAACAUGAUUUCCUGCCCAAGCAUGCCAGACCACCAGCAUAGCCUUUCCUUCAGAGGACACAGGUUGAGAGCUGGAAAUGUGACAUGAGGGAAUGAUUGUGCCAGAUAAUCAAGUAGGGUAAAACAUCUAAUCUCUUGGUUCAGUAAUAAACUCCAGAGUUCAGAUCCUGUGUUGGUUGCCAUUUACACCUAACAUCUGGACAUCCAGUACAUACAGGUGGAUAACUAGGUCCUUAGCCAAGCUGGAAGAAUAACUGAUGUGAUCAGGCUGCAGUAUUUCAUUUAGCAAUGUUUGUCAGUCUGUCUGCUGCUCAGCUGCUGAUGUUCACAGAAUUUAAAAAAAAUGUGUAUUUUUUUCAACUAGGCUUCCUCCUUCCACACUCUUGCCAAACUUAGUCAAAAUUAUCCAGCAGAUUAAAAAGUGGCUCGAGGGGACAAACAGACAACACGAUUACACAUGCCUCAAUCCCUUAGAAAACUAUUAGCAGGAACUUAGUAAUCUCAAACACUGUUGAUUUUCACUCUGCUCUCUGUAAUUGUGCAACACAGGAAAGGCAAAAAAGUUGCUUCAUACAGACCUAACAUUUAUUUAUGUGAAAGGUUUUGCAAUUAUACUUUAUUGUGUCUAAUUGCAGACCUGAGGCUCUUUUAAAAUUUUUGUGGUAUUAUAAGAAUGUCAAUUAUUUCCUCUUCCCAAUGCUGGAGAGUGGAGAUAAAAUACAAGGAUAUAGUUCUCGUAUCUAAGGGAGGUUUUGAGAAUGUUUAGGUGCAGACAUUAAAAUGCACAGAGAGCCAGUGUUUGGAUGACUUAAACGUUUGUUCCAUUCACUGCCCAUUCAGUUCCUUUAUAAUCAUUAACUGUAAAGACUGUCUUAUACAGUAUCAGAGAAGAUAAGUCAGGGCAAGAGCUACAAUUGUAACCACAGAGAUAUGAAUGUCUGCUUCUGAUAGGGGAAAAGAAAACUCCUCCAAAUAUGUUUGUGACACCAUCAAUUCUACAGUAUGUGUGUAUGUCACUGUUCCUGGUAGAUGGUGUGAAAGAAUCUGCGGCAAUGCAUAGUCAGCUUACAUGUAGACACACCUUGCACAUACAGCACACCUC